rnacentral:tRNA from 1 species
UAUUGCUCAGUGGUAGAGUGCGUGCUUAGUAUGCACGAGGUCCUGAGUUCAGUCCCCAGUA